UACGGGGGGGGCAAGCGUUGUUCGGAAUUACUGGGCGUAAAGGGCUCGUAGGCGGCCAACUAAGUCGGACGUGAAACCCCCAGGCUUAACUUGGGAACUGCGUCCGAUACUGGAUGGCUUGAAUCCGGGAGAGGGAUGCGGAAUUCCAGGUGUAGCGGUGAAAUGCGUAGAUAUCUGGAGGAACACCGGUGGCGAAGGCGGCAUCCUGGACCGGUAUUGACGCUGAGUGAGCGAAAGCCAGGGGAGCAAACGGG
rnacentral:rRNA from 1 species